rnacentral:rRNA from 1 species
AUUGAACGCUGGCGGCAGGCCUAACACAUGCAAGUCGAGCGGUAGAGAGGUGCUUGCACCUCUUGAGAGCGGCGGACGGGUGAGUAAUGCCUAGGAAUCUGCCUGGUAGUGGGGGAUAACGCUCGGAAACGGACGCUAAUACCGCAUACGUCCUACGGGAGAAAGCAGGGGACCUUCGGGCCUUGCGCUAUCAGAUGAGCCUAGGUCGGAUUAGCUAGUUGGUGAGGUAAUGGCUCACCAAGGCGACGAUCCGUAACUGGUCUGAGAGGAUGAUCAGUCACACUGGAACUGAGACACGGUCCAGACUCCGACGGGAGGCAGCAGUGGGGAAUAUUGGACAAUGGGCGAAAUCCUGAUCCAGCCAUGCCGCGUGUGUGAAGAAGGUCUUCGGAUUGUAAAGCACUUUAAGUUGGGAGGAAGGGUCGUUACCUAAUACGUGACGAUUUUGACGUUACCGACAGAAUAAGCACCGGCUAACUCUGUGCCAGCCGCCGCGGUAAAAC